rnacentral:rRNA from 1 species
AACGGCGAGUGAAGAGGAAGAGCUCAAAGUUGGAACCUGUUUGGCCUAGCUAAACCGGAUUGUAGACUGUAGAAGUGUUUUCCAGGCAAGCCGAGUAAAUAAGUCCUUUGGAACAGGGCAUCAUAGAGGGUGAGAAUCCCGUCUUUGGCUUGAGCAUUUGCCUUUUGUGAUACGCUUUCAAAGAGUCAGGUUGUUUGGGAAUGCAGCCUAAAUUGGGUGGUAAAUCUCACCUAAAGCUAAAUAUUGGCGAGAAACCGAUAGCGAACAAGUACCGUGAGGGAAAGAUGAAAAGAACUUUGAAAAGAGAGUUAAACAGUAUGUGAAAUUGUUAAAAGGGAACCGUUUGGAGCCAGACUGGCUUGUCUGUAAUCAAUCUAGGCUUCGGCCUGGAUGCACUUGCAGGCUAUGCCUGCCAACGACAAUUUGACUUGAGGGAAAAAACUAAGGGAAAUGUGGCCCACUUGUGGGUGUUAUAGUCCCUUAGAAAAUACCUUGGGUUGGAUUGAGGAACGCAGCGAAUGCUUUUUGGCGAGUUCUCCAGGAAGGUUUUCUGAGGUACUACGGUAUCAAGGUUGAUCUUUUUGGUUAUACUUCUAUUCGCUUAGGUUGUUGGCUUAAUGACUCUAAAUGACCCGUCUUGAAACACGGACCAAGGAGUCCACCAUUAGUGCGAGUAUUUGGGUGCCAAACCCAUAUGCGUAAGGAAACUGAUUGAUACGAAUCCAUUACGGAGGCAGUAUCGUCCGGCGCCGACGUUUUAUACUGAAUUGACCGAGACAAAGCACUAAUGAUGGGACCCGAAAGAUGGUGAACUAUGCCUGAAUAGGGUGAAGCCAGAGGAAACUCUGGUGGAGGCUCGUAGCGAUUCUGACGUGCAAAUCGAUCGUCAAUUUU